AGACAGCAGUAGCCGCGGGAAUACGGAGGGUGCAAGCGUUAAUCGGAAUUACUGGGCGUAAAGCGCACGCAGGCGGUCUGACAAGUCAGAUGUGAAAUCCCCGGGCUUAACCUGGGAACUGCAUUUGAAACUGUCAGGCUGGAGUCUUGUAGAGGGGGGUGGAAUUCCAGGUGUAGCGGUGAAAUGCGUAGAGAUCUGGAGGAAUACCGGUGGCGAAGGCGGCCCCCUGGACAAAGACUGACGCUCAGGUGCGAAAGCGUGGGGAGCAAACAGGAUUAGAUACCCCUGUAGUCCCUGUCUCUUAUAA
rnacentral:rRNA from 1 species